GUUCGCGAACGACGAUUGACGCACUCCGCAUUCUUUUCGACGUUUUCGUGAUAUUCGACGCGUCAGUGAUCCUGGUGAUUUUUUUUACGAAUUUUCCAUUGUGGAAUUCCAAAGGUUGCGCGACGGUCAGGCUGCAAGAAAAUCGUUUGUUCCAAGCAUCGAAGGACGAUCCCAAUUGUGGCUGACAGGGUGAAAAAGCUGGGAAGAUAAUUAAAAUUAAUUCUGAAGCGUGAUCCACGAAUUCGGAACGUUCGACGACGCCGAGACUGCACGGCGACCUUUCGUUUAAUCGUCGCUGUGGCGGGUAACAGCGUUCGAUUCGGAGAAGUAUGAUUAUUAUUUGCUCUCCAGUAAUUGGUCUAUACACAGGGCGUUGAAAAGAAUGGCUCGCGGUGGCUUAGGAGGCCAUAUACAAGUCACUAAACUGACAGCGAAGAAAAAAGCGCAUGGAACCCGACGUAGGGCGAGAGGUUGGCCCUGAUUCUGACGGAGUUGGAGGCUACUUUUGGGUUUUAACGAUAAUUCAAGCGGUACACCGUUUAACGGAAACGCGAGGAUUGAUAAUAGUGUUUGUCCUGGGAGUGGUCCCUUCCUAAUUAGGCUCGUUGACCCGAAGAAUUAGGAUUGAAUCGAUAUUCUAUUUAACUGUCACACCUUCGCUUGUGAUACUAUAAUAUAGACUUGGUCAGCUAUAUAUAAUUUAUAGUCGUGGUCAUAAUUAGACGAUUCGAGUCUAUUAUUAAAUUUAAAUAGUUACACUGCUGUAUAAGUAAGUAUAGAAUAAUACGACGAUUGUUUUUAAUCGGCAAAGAUGACUCUAUUUAAAGUAUAACAUGAACUAAUUAUACAAGAUUGCAAGGAACUUUGUAAUAUUUUGUUUCUGAUAUUA